GAUGAACGCUAGCGGCAGGCUUAACACAUGCAAGUCGAGGGGUAUUGGUUUUCGGACCAAGAGACCGGCGCACGGGUGCGUAACGCGUAUGCAAUCUACCUUUUGCAGAGGGAUAGCCCAGAGAAAUUUGGAUUAAUACCUCAUAGUAUAGUACUUUGGCAUCAAGGAACUAUUAAAGUCACAACGGCAAAAGAUGAGCAUGCGUCCCAUUAGCUAGUUGGUAAGGUAACGGCUUACCAAGGCUACGAUGGGUAGGGGUCCUGAGAGGGAGAUCCCCCCACACUGGUACUGAGACACGGACCAGACUCCUACGGGAGGCAGCAGUGAGGAAUAUUGGUCAAUGGGCGCAAGCCUGAACCAGCCAUGCCGCGUGCAGGAAGACGGUCCUAUGGAUUGUAAACUGCUUUUGUUACAGGAAGAAACACUACUUCGUGAAGUAGCUUGACGGUACUUGUAAGAAUAAGGAGUC
rnacentral:rRNA from 1 species